rnacentral:lncRNA from 1 species
GUUAGGAAGAUGGAUGUGGGAAGGUGUUUUUAGUUUGCUUUUCAUUCUUAUUUCUCUUAAUUUGUCACUGAUAUGACUGAGACCUUUCAGUCCAUAUCUCAGCUCAUGAGCUUCUUCUCAUUACAUUUUCUCCAUGUGCCUUUCUCAGGAGAGAGAAUGAGAGAGCAGUAUGGUGGUACUUAGCUGCCCAUCAGUGUGAAAUUACCACACCUGUACUUGCAAACAUAUGGGCUUUGUGAUUAUGGAAAGGCAAUUCGACCCCUGUAAUACUGACCUGUAGCAGCACCCAACUACCAGCUUGUUUUGUGAAUGCAAUUGCUUGUAACCUCACACGUGCAUUCAUACUGUCAUAUCAUAUUAAAUGAGCUAUAAUUGUAGUCUAUUAGAGUGCAAUAACCUAAAAGUGAUAGUGCAUGACAGCACCUGUCAACACGUCACGGAAGAUUGUAUGGGAUGCUGAAUGAUACCCAUUUUAUACCACAUUAAUGAGGCAGCUCAUUCUUACCCAGUCGUAAAUAAACAGGUUUCCAUUUCUUUAUACUCCCUCAGAAGCUUUAUUUAUUUAUUUAUUUUGUGCACAGGUCCACAGAAGUCAUGAUAAUGUCUAGGAAAAGAGUAUCAGAGUGCAGCUGUUAAUGACAAUGAUGAUGUUGUUUUUAUCAUUAUUAAAUGCUCUAUGAAUACAUAUUAAUGUGACUCUUUCCAUUUUAUGGAGGAGAAGAUAGUGAAAAAUAUAAGGAAAAACAAGAUUGACUAUGUUUAGUAAAGAUUUAAUGUAAAAUAAAUGAAUUGCCUGAUUGCUUCAGCAACACCCAAUGAAAAGUAUGGGCAGAAGCCUGCUCCUCUUCACAUUGGUGGCUGUUCUGGGGUCGUGCUUUCAUUUUUAAUUUUUCUAUUUGAAAUGGAGGUGGAAAGAGAAAAGGAGAAAUGACUGCAGAAAGAGGAAAGAGAGAGAGUAGGAGGCUUUCAGCAAAGUCAAAAGAAGAGCAAAUAUAUCAAAGUGGCCAUAUGAGGAAAGGUCAACAGAGGCCUUGGCAAGCCCACAUUUCCCCUCCUGGAUACUGUCAGAAGUAA